rnacentral:rRNA from 1 species
CAACCGGGGGAUUGCCUUAGUACGGCGAGUGAGCGGCAAAAGCUCAAAUUUGAAAUCUGGUACCUUCGGUGCCCGAGUUGUAAUUUGGAGAGGGCAACUUUGGGGCCGUUCCUUGUCUAUGUUCCUUGGAACAGGACGUCAUAGAGGGUGAGAAUCCCGUGUGGCGAGGAGUGCGGUUCUUUGUAAAGUGCCUUCGAAGAGUCGAGUUGUUUGGGAAUGCAGCUCUAAGUGGGUGGUAAAUUCCAUCUAAAGCUAAAUAUUGGCGAGAGACCGAUAGCGAACAAGUACAGUGAUGGAAAGAUGAAAAGAACUUUGAAAAGAGAGUGAAAAAGUACGUGAAAUUGUUGAAAGGGAAGGGCAUUUGAUCAGACAUGGUGUUUUGUGCCCUCUGCUCCUUGUGGGUAGGGGAAUCUCGCAUUUCACUGGGCCAGCAUCAGUUUUGGUGGCAGGAUAAAUCCAUAGGAAUGUAGCUUGCCUCGGUAAGUAUUAUAGCCUGUGGGAAUACUGCCAGCUGGGACUGAGGACUGCGACGUAAGUCAAGGAUGCUGGCAUAAUGGUUAUAUGCCGCCCGUCUUGAACCACCCGAAACCA